rnacentral:rRNA from 1 species
CCUACGGGUGGCAGCAGUGGGGAAUAUUGGGCAAUGGACGCAACUCUGACCCAGCAACGCCGCGUGAAGGAUGAAGGUCUUCGGGUUGUAAAGUUCUUUUCUCAGGGAAGAAGAAAGUGACGGUACCUGAGGAAUAAGCCACGGCUAACUACGUGCCAGCAGCCGCGGUAAUACGUAGGAGGCAAGCGUUAUCCGGAAUGACUGGGCGUAAAGGGUGCGUAGGUGGUAUGGCAAGUUGGUAGCGUAACGCAGGAGCUCAACCUCUGAACUGCAACCAAAACUGUUGGGCUUGAGUGCAGGAGAGGCAGACGGAAUUGCUAGUGUAGCGGUGGAAUGCGUAGAUAUUAGGAAGAACACCGGUGGCGAAGGCGAGUUGCUGGACUGUAACUGACACUGAGGCACGAAAGCGUGGGGAGCAAACAGGAUUAGAUACCCCUGUAGUC